UACGUAGGGUGCAGGCGUUAAUCGGAAUUACUGGGCGUAAAGCGUGCGCAGGCGGUCUUUUAAGUCAGAUGUGAAAUCCCCGGGCUUAACCUGGGAACUGCGUUUGAAACUGGAAGGCUUGAGUGCGGCAGAGGGGGGUGGAAUUCCGCGUGUAGCAGUGAAAUGCGUAGAGAUGCGGAGGAACACCGAUGGCGAAGGCAGCCCCCUGGGCCGACACUGACGCUCAGGCACGAAAGCGUGGGGAGCAAACAGG
rnacentral:rRNA from 1 species